rnacentral:rRNA from 1 species
UACGUAGGGGGCGAGCGUUAUCCGGAUUUAUUGGGCGUAAAGCGUGUGUAGGUGGUUUAUUAAGUAUAAGAUUAAAGCCCGAGGCUUAACCUCGGUUCGUCUUAUAAACUGGUAGACUUGAGUAUGGUAGAGGCAAAUGGAAUUUCUAGUGUAGCGGUAGAAUGCGUAGAUAUUAGAAGGAACACCAGUGGCGAAAGCGAUUUGCUGGGCCAUUACUGACACUGAGACACGAAAGCGUGGGGAGCAAAUAGG